rnacentral:rRNA from 1 species
AGCCUACGGGUGGCUGCAGUGAGGAAUAUUGGUCAAUGGGCGGGAGCCUGAACCAGCCAAGUCGCGUGAGGGACGACGGUCCUAUGGAUUGUAAACCUCUUUUGUCGGGGAACAAAGGCGCCCACGGGUGGGCGGAUGAGUGUACCCGAAGAAAAAGCAUCGGCUAACUCCGUGCCAGCAGCCGCGGUAAUACGGAGGAUGCGAGCGUUAUCCGGAUUUAUUGGGUUUAAAGGGUGCGUAGGCGGACGGUCAAGUCAGCGGUAAAAAUGCGGUGCUCAACGCCGUACAGCCGUUGAAACUGGCAGUCUUGAGUGGGCGAGAAGUAUGCGGAAUGCGUGGUGUAGCGGUGAAAUGCAUAGAUAUCACGCAGAACUCCGAUUGCGAAGGCAGCAUACCGGCGCCCUACUGACGCUGAGGCACGAAAGCGUGGGUAUCGAACAGGAUUAGAUACCCUAGUAGUCAGG